CUAGUUUUUACAAAACUGUGCUUUGACUGUAUUUACAACGCGAAAAUGAGACAGUGGAUAUUAUGUCUGGGGCUUUUAUUGUGAAACGUUAGAAUGGAGGGAGUGCAUCUAAUGCCCCUGGGCUUUGUCUAUGUGGAGUAUUGUUUGCCUCUUGGUUAAGACUGGGAGCCUCUUGUUGUUUUAUACAAAGCGUAACUACACCCGUUCUGCACAACGUGAUUAGUCAAUGUUUUCCUUCUUAGUGCAAAAGCUCCCAAAAAAACUAAAUCGCGCUCGAGGAAAAGAGAAUUCACUUCGUAAUCUCUGCAUUCUCUGUGCAGGCGAUCCGCUAAAAUAAAUAACGACGUGUGGAUCACCUGACGGUUAAGGGCCCUUGCGAACGUUGGGAUCCGCGACCCUCGUGUUGCACUGGACGAAUGCACCAAACGCCACCGUUGAGCCGAGGGGGACAUUGGGGGGGGGUUGGGAGACGAGCCGCACCUGGGCACACCUGGGCACACCUGGGCGCCGCGUACCCUUCAGGUUCAGACGCUGUUUGAUGAACAGUGAGAAAGAAACCGAUGCUGUGACUCUUCAAGAGGAUCAACGGGUCUUAACUAUCAGAGAUAUGUUUAUUAUGGAGGAAGGGGGCUAAGCUGCCCCUCUGCUUCAUCAGCAUUCCCUCCACCCACAGCUGGCCCGCCCCAGAACUCAGGAGGGGGCCUUCUGAAACCCCCAAGCCCUCAUUCCCCCCCCCAUUGCAUUUUGGUCACUGGCUCGUCCUAAUGAAACUAAUAACAAUGAAAAGAUGCAACGGUUAUCUCGCCAUCUGAACCACGUCGGUCCAGCUUCACACACACGUUUCCAACUGGGUCGGAUCACGAGCGACACCUUCUCUCCGUCACGCCCGCGACGGCGUUCACACGUACUCAACCAGAGACCAUCACAUGUCACCGGAGGCUUCGACGCGUCCUCGACGUCUCGCCGCCGCUCCAUCACCACAAUAACAGCACAAAUGACGCGGACAGCCCGUCGUCCUCGCUCUCGCCUCAUGUUUCCAUCACUGCAUUUGAAUGGAGGGUGUUUGCUUGGUUUUGGGGGAGGGAGGGAGGGAAGGGGGAGGUGAAAGGUUUGACACGGCGUGCUUCCUGCAGUCCCUCCAGCUGCCCGCAGAGAAAACACAAGCAUUUCACACCCAACCCCCCCUUCACCUUUUGACCUUUAGCACAUUGACUGUGGCAGUAACCAGUGAGGGGGGGGGGGGGUAUUUAUUGAAGAAGGACUUUAGCGCCAAACACGUCGGCGAGGCUCAACGCUGAUGGCGCUUGGUGAACUGAUAUGAAUCGCUUUGAGCUCAACGGUGAAAAAUGACAACGGCCGUUGUUGACUUUUAAAGUCUUCUGCUUGAAGGGAAGAAUAUGUGAGACGGCCCAAGACGCGACCGGCGCGAAAGCAUGGGCGCCGUAACGCCACCAAUCUGAAAUAAACGAGCAUCCUUUUCAUCAUCUGCGGGAGGCCGUCUCACUCCCCAGCUUACGCCACAGCAGCAGAUGGCUGCGUUGAGACGGCACCAAACUGCGAGAGGAGACCGUCCCCCCGUGAGACACAAACACAAAAAACACGUCGCUCUCACUGGCCGUCCCGUGCCGGGGCGCCAACUACGACACGUGUAACCAAGAGACAUGCAGAGAAAGCGCCUGUUGUGACGUCAUUAAGUCCCCCGUUAUCACUCAAGUCCUGCUGCAAGGACGCCGCUCCAUCGGGACGACUUCUGUGGACAAAAGUCAGAUAACGUUGGCUGAGCUGUUAACCAAACACUGCUCCCUCCCCGACAGAGCCCAUCAUGUCUCCGUCAUGGACACCAUGUCUCCACGAAGAACAUCAUGUCUCCACGAUGGACACCAUGUCUCCACGAAGAACAUCAUGUCUCCGUGAUGGACACCAUGUCUCCACGAAGAACAUCAUGUCUCCACGAUGGACACCAUGUCUCCACGAAGAACAUCAUGUCUCCACGAUGGACACCAUGUCUCCACGAAGAACAUCAUGUCUCCGUGAUGGACACCAUGUCUCCACGAAGAACAUCAGGUCUCCGUGAUGGACCUCAUGUCUCCACGAAGACCACCACGUCUCUGUAAUGGACACCACGUCUCUGUAAUGGACACCACGUCUCUGUAAUGGACACCACGUCUCUGUGGUGGACUCCACGUCUCUGUGGUGGACACCACGUCUCUGUGGUGGACACCAUGCUGGGCCGGCUUGGUUUUAAAUAGGCCGUUAAAUGACGGCCCCCCACUGCGCAUCAGGCCCGCUGUUGGCCGCUGGCCGCCGGUGAACAAGUGCAGUGAGUAAAUUCAGCGAACUGUAACGCUGAAGAACGUGAACUAACGAACUAAACAUGACAGGAGAAUAAGUUCGCGCGUGCACGCGGUUACCGGGCGACGCGGCGGCUUCAUUGAU
ensembl:lncRNA